CCUACGGGUGGCAGCAGUGAGGAAUAUUGGUCAAUGGGCGGGAGCCUGAACCAGCCAAGCCGCGUGAAGGAAGAAGGCGCCAGGCGUCGUAAACUUCUUUUGUCGGGGAACAAAGGGCGCCACGUGUGGCGUUGUGAGUGUACCCGAAGAAAAAGCAUCGGCUAACUCCGUGCCAGCAGCCGCGGUAAUACGUAGGGGGCAAGCGUUAUCCGGAUUUACUGGGUGUAAAGGGAGCGUAGACGGUUAUGUAAGUCUGGAGUGAAAGCCCGGGGCCCAACCCCGGGACUGCUUUGGAAACUGUGUAACUGGAGUACAGGAGGGGCAGGCGGAAUUCCUGGUGUAGCGGUGAAAUGCGUAGAUAUCAGGAGGAACACCGGCGGCGAAGGCGGCCUGCUGGACUGAAACUGACGUUGAGGCUCGAAAGCGUGGGGAGCAAACAGGAUUAGAUACCCGAGUAGUC
rnacentral:rRNA from 1 species